UACGAAGGGGCUAGCGUUGCUCGGAAUCACUGGGCGUAAAGGGUGCGUAGGCGGGUCUUUAAGUCAGGGGUGAAAUCCUGGAGCUCAACUCCAGAACUGCCUUGAUACUGAAGAUCUUGAGUUCGGGAGAGGUGAGUGGAACUGCGAGUGUAGAGGUGAAAUUCGUAGAUAUUCGCAAGAACACCAGUGGCGAAGGCGGACUCACUGGCCCGGUACUGACGCUGAGGUGCGAAAGCGAUGGG
rnacentral:rRNA from 1 species